AUUGUGAAUUUUACCCACAGGAAAACUCCUGAAAACUAAUUUUAUUUCAGCCAUCAAUCAAUUUCCAGAAAAUUGCUAAAAUAACUGGAAAAAGAAAAAGACAGGGGCUCAAUCUUCUCUGCUCUUUCGGCCUGAGCGCGGAAACGGCCUGCCUGCGGCCCAGCGAACGCCGGCGCAAUGUGGCCCAUCUAACGGCCCAGCUGACCAGAGCUUGCCCGGGCCUCAAACUUUACUGUGCUGCCGGCCCGCGCGUGAAUGCGGCCCGGCCUGCCUCGCACUCUCGCCCGCGGCGCCCUCCCUGGCGAUAUCGGGCGAAAAAAACGCCGCGCGCCGUCUCCUCCCGGAAUCCUAGCGCCAUUUCUCCCUCUCAGCGCCGCAAUCCUGCGAGAGUAGCGCCUAGCGGCGGAGCCGAUGGGGCGGGCGAGCGCCGGCGAGCGGCGCGGCGCCCGGCCCGAGGCUUCCCCUCGGCAGGCCCGUCCGUGGCGGGUGACGGCGCCGCCGCAGCUCCCCUCCGCCGGCAGGUGUCCUCAAAGACGGCGCCGCCGCCGGUCCUCUCGCCGGCGCGCGCGCUCGCCCUAGGGUGAGCGCGCCGCCGUCGAGCGGACUAGCGUCGGUGCCUUGGGCACCCCGCCGGCGGCGGCUUCCUUCUUCCCGGAGCGCGGAGCGGAUCCGGCUUGCUAAACUCGUUGUGAAAGAACCAGGCAACAAGGAUAUGGCGAGCCAUGAUGAAGGGAAGAAUUAUGAUGGGUUUAGUAGUUGUAUAGUUGGUUGGAAGUGUCAUGGGUUUGGUAGCUCUAUAGUUGGUGGCGGGCAACUAGAAACAAAGAUAGGGACAAUCAUCGAGCAUCGGCGUGUUUGAUUUAAUUUGAUGAAUGGGUUGGCUCAUCUUCUCGCUCUAUUUUUUGUAAUGGGUUUGGUUUAAUGUAAUGAGUUGAUCCAUCACGAUUUAUUGACUCUUCCCUCACAAGCCAAUAUUUAGUAACAGAUGAUGGAUGAA